rnacentral:rRNA from 1 species
CCUACGGGUGGCUGCAGUGGGGAAUUUUGGACAAUGGGGGCAACCCUGAUCCAGCCAUGCCGCGUGCGGGAAGAAGGCCUUCGGGUUGUAAACCGCUUUUGUCAGGGAAGAAAUCUUCCGAGCUAAUACCUUGGGAGGAUGACGGUACCUGAAGAAUAAGCACCGGCUAACUACGUGCCAGCAGCCGCGGUACUACGUAGGGUACAAACGUUAAUCGGAGUUAGCGCGCGCGGAGCGUGCGCACGCGUUUGAAAUCCCCGGGCUUAACCUGGGAACUGCACUUGUGACUGUACGGCUGGAGUACGGCAGAGGGGGAUGGAAUUCCGCGUGUAGCAGUGAAAUGCGUAGAUAUGCGGAGGAACACCGAUGGCGAAGGCAGUCCCCUGGGCCUGUACUGACGCUCAUGCACGAAAGCGUGGGGAGCAAACAGGAUUAGAUACCCUGGUAGUC